rnacentral:pre_miRNA from 1 species
AGGAGGAACAGCCCCAGUGGCGGGGCAGCUCUGGAAACCUGGAUUCAGCCCCCGCAGGAAUUCCGGAGCUCUCGGUCUGCAGGGCCUGGAGGCUCCGGGGCGGG